GUUCUACUCCUGAGAUACAACAGCCUCUCGCACUGUUCCUUCUGCCUCAAUGAUUUACACGGAUCAAAGAAGCCUUCGAACCCAGAAUCAGUAUGCAGCAAGCCCGUUGAUUGAAAGAAAAACAGCAAACACGAAGAAUAGAAGUUCUCUGUUUUCAAUUUUCUAUCUACUGUCUAAUCCGAAGAGGUCUAUUUAUAGACUUCUUCGGGACAGACGCGACCCAAAAACGAUCCAACGGUUGAAACCGGUAAGAAAGUUUGAAAAAACACUGGGAAUAUGGCCAGCGGAUGCGAGGUUGGUUGCGAAGAGGUGCUAACGAGGAAGCGACGUGGCUCCUCGUGCUAUGGGUGCGAGGCACGGCCAACGCACCUCUUGGCUCAUCGUACCCGUUGUCCGACCUCGGCUCCUCUGGGCUCAUCACACCUGUGGUCCGACCUCGGCCUCGGCUCUUCGCGCUUCAGUUGAGGUGGGUCGGACGAGCACAGGCACACAGAACCUUGGACGAGCAGGGGCAGGGCCCAGCGAGCACAAGCACAUGCGCAAAGAACCUUCGCUCGGACAAGCACAGGCACAGCUCGGCUGCAGAGAACCUCGGCUCGGACAAGCACAGGCACAGAGAACCUCGGCUCGGACAAGCACAGGCCCAACGAGCACAAGAGAACCGAGCUCGGCUCGGACAAGGAGGGAACAUCCCAACGAGCACAAGAGCUCGGACAAGGAGGGAACAUCCCAACGAGCACAAGAAAACCAAGCUUUACG
rnacentral:lncRNA from 1 species